rnacentral:rRNA from 1 species
AGCUAGUUGGUGAGGUAACGGCCCACCAAGGCGACGACGGGUAGCCGGCCUGAGAGGGUGACCGGCCACACUGGGACUGAGACACGGCCCAGACUCCUACGGGAGGCAGCAGUGGGGAAUAUUGCACAAUGGGCGCAAGCCUGAUGCAGCAACGCCGCGUGAGGGACGACGGCCUUCGGGUUGUAAACCUCUUUUAGUAGGGAAGAAGCGAAAGUGACGGUACCUGCAGAAAAAGCACCGGCUAACUACGUGCCAGCAGCCGCGGUAAUACGUAGGGUGCAAGCGUUAUCCGGAAUUAUUGGGCGUAAAGAGCUCGUAGGCGGCUUGUCGCGUCUGCUGUGAAAACUGGAGGCUCAACCUCCAGCCUGCAGUGGGUACGGGCAAACUAGAGUGCGGUAGGGGAGAUUGGAAUUCCUGGUGUAGCGGUGGAAUGCGCAGAUAUCAGGAGGAACACCGAUGGCGAAGGCAGAUCUCUGGGCCGUAACUGACGCUGAGGAGCGAAAGCAUGGGGAGCGAACAGGAUUAGAUACCCUGGUAGUCCAUGCCGUAAACGUUGGGAACUAGAUGUGGGGGCCAUUCCACGGCUUCCGUGUCGCAGCUAACGCAUUAAGUUCCCCGCCUGGGGAGUACGGCCGCAAGGCUAAAACUCAAAGGAAUUGACGGGGGCCCGCACAAGCGGCGGAGCAUGCGGAUUAAUUCGAUGCAACGCGAAGAACCUUACCAAGGCUUGACAUAUACGAGAACGCUGCAGAAAUGUAGAACUCUUUGGACACUCGUAUACAGGUGGUGCAUGGUUGUCGUCAGCUCGUGUCGUGAGAUGUUGGGUUAAGUCCCGCAACGAGCGCAACCCUCGUUCUAUGUUGCCAGCACGUAAUGGUGGGAACUCAUAGGAGACUGCCGGGGUCAACUCGGAGGAAGGUGGGGAUGACGUCAAAUCAUCAUGCCCCUUAUGUCUUGGGCUUCACGCAUGCUACAAUGGCCGGUACAAAGGGCUGCAAUACCGUAAGGUGGAGCGAAUCCCAAAAAGCCGGUCUCAGUUCGGAUUGAGGUCUGCAACUCGACCUCAUGAAGUCGGAGUCGCUAGUAAUCGUGGAUCAGCAACGCCACGGUGAAUACGUUCCCGGGCCUUGUACACACCGCCCGUCAAGUCAUGAAAGUCGGUAACACCCGAAGCCAGUGGCCCAACCGCAAGGAGGGAGCUGUCGAAGGUGGGAUCGGUGAUUAGGACUAAGUCGUAACAAGGUAGCCGUACCGGAAGGUGCGGCUG